GAGUGUUGAUUAUAUGGAUUCAUUUGAGAUGAAGAUAUGGGUGAUGAUCAAUGCUUACGAUUUUGGUCAAUUUAUGUUAGCAAUUUAAUUCUUUUUCAUCCAUAUUUUCAUCUCGAAUUUAAUCUUUAAAAAAGCGUUU